UUUGAUGGCGACCGGCGCACGGGUGAGUAACACGUAUCCAACCUGCCGAUGACUCGGGGAUAGCCUUUCGAAAGAAAGAUUAAUACCCGAUGGCAUAGUUCUUCCGCAUGGUGGAACUAUUAAAGAAUUUCGGUCAUCGAUGGGGAUGCGUUCAUUAGGUUGUUGGCGGGGUAACGGCCCACCAAGCCUUCGAUGGAUAGGGGUUCUGAGAGGAAGGUCCCCCACAUUGGAACUGAGACACGGUCCAAACUCCUACGGGAGGCAGCAUG
rnacentral:rRNA from 1 species